rnacentral:rRNA from 1 species
UACGAAGGGGGCUAGCGUUGCUCGGAAUCACUGGGCGUAAAGCGCACGUAGGCGGACUCUUAAGUCGGUGGUGAAAUCCUGGAGCUCAACUCCAGAACUGCCUUCGAUACUGGGAGUCUCGAGUUCGGGAGAGGUGAGUGGAACUGCGAGUGUAGAGGUGAAAUUCGUAGAUAUUCGCAAGAACACCAGUGGCGAAGGCGGCUCACUGGCCCGAUACUGACGCUGAGGUGCGAAAGCGUGGGGAGCGAACAGG